UACGAAGGGUGCAAACGUUGCUCGGAAUUAUUGGGCGUAAAGCGCACGUAGGCGGCUUAGCAAGUUGGAUGUGAAAGCCCUCGGCUUAACCAAGGAAGUGCAUCCAAAACUGCUGAGCUUGAGUAGUUAAGAGGAUCGCGGAAUUCCCGGUGUAGAGGUGAAAUUCGUAGAUAUCGGGAGGAACACCAGUGGCGAAGGCGGCGAUCUGGGAACAUACUGACGCUGAGGUGCGAAAGCGUGGGGAGCGAACAGG
rnacentral:rRNA from 1 species